rnacentral:rRNA from 1 species
CCUACGGGCGGCAGCAGUGAGGAAUAUUGGUCAAUGGCCGAUAGGCUGAACCAGCCAAGUCGCGUGAGGGAAGACGGCCCUACGGGUUGUAAACUUCUUUUGUCGGGGAGUAAAGCGAACUAUGUGUGGUUCAUUGCGAGUACCCGAAGAAAAAGCAUCGGCUAACUCCGUGCCAGCAGCCGCGGUAAUACGGAGGAUUCGAGCGUUAGCCGGAUUUAUUGGGUUUAAAGGGAGCGGCGGCGGGUGGUGAAGUCAGUCGGUAAAGUUCCGGGGUCAACCGUCGAAUUGCCGUUGAUACUGCAACCCUUGAGUGCGGGAGAGGUAUGCGGAAUGCGUGGUGUAGCGGUGAAAUGCAUAGAUAUCACGCAGAACUCCGAUUGCGAAGGCAGCAUACUGGCGCGCAACUGACGCUGAUGCACGAAAGCGUGGGUAUCGAACAGGAUUAGAUACCCGAGUAGUC